rnacentral:lncRNA from 1 species
GCAGGAACGGUAACGGGGCCCUGGCCUGCCUGCUCCAGCUGUGGUCUCAGCAAGGGCUUGGACACCAAACCUCUACAGCUGCACUGGCAGCUGCUCGCUCAGAACUCCUGGAAUAAUUAAUCCAUUAUAAUUAAUUAAUUAAUUAAUCCAUUAAAACAGCAUUGACUUUGACAUGAAAAUGAUUUUGUAGAGAAAAAACAGGAGUUAUAUCAAUAAUCCUAUAUCCCGCAAACCAUAAGACUAUAUGUUAAGUGUGGCAUGGUUUUGCUAAGCAGAUACUGGAGGAGUAACGGGACAUCAAGAGCAACCUCUGGGGACCUCAGUCCGGCCCUGACCCCAGGUACACCCUGGAGCCAAGCUGAUGUUACUUGGGGUAAUUUCAGGUAAUGCACGAUGGGGAGGUGCUCUCUCUCUCUGUACAUCUCUGGGCCACAGAGAACCAGGAUACAUUUCUUGUCCUGAUAGUGGAACUUUCCUAAAUAGAAAGAUCCAUCUCCUCUUGCAUAUUUUUGGUCUCUGGAGUCAGUAGGACGGUGGUGGGGAAUGCUGGUGGGAAAGGGUUCAUAACGUACUUGGAGAAAGACAACAUCAAUUGCACUAUGAUUAUUUACACUGUGUGAAAAAAAGCAAUUAUACUUCCUAGUCAUCCACUACUUAUAUUUUAAAAGUAUUUCCGAUGAAGACAGGAGUGAACUUAGCACACAUUAUGAGUCUGUAGAAAAACAAGAGCCCAGUGGCCCAGUGUUAAUGAAUACAGAACUUCUUGUACAUGCUGCUUGCAGGAAGUAUCCAUGCAUCCUUUUGUCUCUUUUCAGUCACAAAAGGGAAAUACCUGCCUGCAUAUAUUGGUUUUCCUUCCAUUCCUAUCAAAUAUUGCUUUGGAGAGUAUAAAGUAAUUUGAAGUUCUUUUUCUGCUUUAUUGUUAGAACCAGAGCAUUUUCUCUUACAGUGUAAAUUUACUUUUGUGGAGCUUUAAUGCGCUCUGCAUUGCACUUUAUAUAUUUGUCACUUGUUGGGCCAUUUAUUUUUGAUAUACAAAACAAUAAUUUUUUUGUUACUCUAGUUUUACCUAGAAAAUAACCAUGCAACUAAGAUGUUUUUAUAAAAAUGCAAGUUCCAUGAAAUGUAGCAAAUAAACUAUUUAGAUUGGAAAUCUUUUUAAUGAUAGCGCUGAGAAAUAUUAUAGCCUCUGAAAUGAUUUACUAUGUAGGAAAUUCAAUAUAUUUAUGGAUGAGUAUCCAUUGGAGUAUCAAUAAAUGGAGUAUGGAUAAACAGGAGACAAAGCUCGAGCCGUUGGAUUUGCUUAUAUGAAAGACUUGUAUUAGUUCAAUUGAUAUGAGCCUGAGAUGGCCCUUGGCUCUGCGGGGCUGCACUCACGCGAGUAUGACUGACCUACCAUCAGAAGCCAAUGCUGUUUCUGUUUGUUUUUUUUCUGGCUUUAUCCCCUCCAGCUUGGGGAACCAGUGUCCUAAAGACAAUCUUCUUGUUCCUAAGUGCGCUAAUGAAGAACUCAUCUUCCCCAGAAUUUUGUUGUCAAGCAUGGGACCCUAACACUGUCCACAUGUAGGUUAAUAUAAAUAUUUUUAGAUGCCAAUUUCAGUGCUUUAAAUGAAAACCAAUUUCUCUGCCCCUGCACAGAAUCCCUUGAAAUUUUGUGGAGUAUGCUGAAAGAUAAAGACAUUUGUACUUUGUCCAGACUGUGUUUGUUCCAAAUCACAGCUGGUACUGUGUGUGCCUGCGAUACCCAUCCUGCAGAGCUGAGCGGUGAAGGGGACGAGGGGCUGUGAUGGCUCCUCCUUCACACGGUGAAGCACUCUCCCUAGCUGUACACACAGGCUCUCAGUCUUUGGUGGGAGACGGAAAUCCCUGUGGAAGCUCCUUGUCAGCCACGCAGCAGAGUUCCUGGCCUUCUUCAGAGCCUUCAGAUGCUCUGCUUUCUCAUUUCUGCAUCCAUAGGUGCCAGCGGAAGCGAAUGGCUCAGCCGCACAGUGUGAAGACAGUCCCAGCUUGAGUUGCAAAUGCAUCAUCUUGCUAUUGUUUCACCCAGCUUCAGCUUCACCUACAAAAGAUAAGCAGGGUCAAGGGGCUCUGACGGACGGUGGUUCUUCAGGCAGCACACACAGCUCUGCUGCCCAGCUGCUUUCUGUGUUCCUGCAUGUGUUUAAAGGAAAGUUGAAAAGAGAGAGGAGACUUUUACAAGUAGCUGAUACUGGCAAUCUCAUUUGAUCCUGCCAUCCUGAGGCAGAGGCACAGAUGUAGGUGACGUGCUUCCACUGCUGGCCACUUGCACGUGGCCCAACAGCCAGCAGACUCUGUUUCUUAAGCUGAAACCCUUCCCAGAACAGCAAAAUGCCACCAUGAAGACGUUUGUUAUCUUCCUCUCUGUCUUCUUGUUGCACUGGCGGCAGGAGAAAAGUGCAGGAAUCAUAGGAGCCCGGCCAUGACUCAUCCAAAUGCCUUUGCACUGCCACAGGUGUUAGGUGAAAAAUGUACAGUCUUGGGCUCUCCAGAAUUUUGCUGUUACUUUCCAUGCAAAAAAAAAAAAAAAAAAGGAUUUAAAGUCUUAGGGUCCACAUCUGAGUUGAUUUUGCAUGCUGAAUCAAGAGCACUUCCAACAGACUUCAGAUACGUAGGCAGUCAUCCUUUGUACAAGUGAUGACACUCGAGUGUUUUGAUUAUUUUUCUUAAAGCAUUUGUGAAAUUAGCAGUGAGCAUAUUAGUGGCUUAAAAUCUAUGAAAAUAACUGAGAUUAAGUAUUAAAAGCAUGUGCUUUCAUGUGAAACGUGAAAGAAUACUACUGAAAGUAUUUAGUUUGCUAAGCACUGGCUCCUGAGUUUGUUAAUGCACUAAACUUGCAUUUGACAGAGUAACUUCUUCUAAAUAGAGCAAGUAAUAAUUUCUUCUCAAAUUAUUUGGAUAAUUCAGGAAAUGAACAGUUUGUUUCUGGUCACUGGGUUUUAGAAGGAAGAAAUCUCAUCCUCCUUUUAAAAUUCAGUAUUUGGAUGGAAAAAAAUCUUCUUGCUUUUCCAUUCCCAACUGAAUGAUCAGUUCAAGUAAGGAUCUAAGUCAUCCCAUAACUUUUUUUAAAGUAAAAACUAGGAACAUGAAGAAACAUGAACGUGAGGAAUCAUGAACAAAGUCAAUAACUAUUUUCAGACCAUUCUGAUUAGUAAAAGUCUUUGUUAAAAUUAUGUUCUGUUGCACAGCUCCCUGAUUUAGUGAGAAAGCAAUUUUUCUUCUGAAAGAAAGAAAAAAGAGGGAAAAGGACAAAUGGAAAACAAGAUUAAACGAGAUCAUUUAAACCCAGGUUUCCUGCUUGUUUUUAGGUCCAUCCCACCCAUUCUAUCACUGUUGUGUGUUCAGGGAUGCUCAGGACAACAGACAUUCCUCACGGGGAGCAGCUCGGUUCCAAAGUGUGAAAUCAAAGCUGUGAGCAAAUUCAAAAUAUUAGCUAUUGCCAAAAAAAGCAUCAAAGCACUACUUGCUACUGAACGGGAAUUUCAGUGUUUCAAAGGAAUCACUUUUUAAUCUAGUUCAUUGCUGUAUUUACAAACAGGUUGCUGUUGUUCUGCUUGCUUGUCUCUUAGGGCUAUGUUUGUCCACACACCUCGGAGCAGGGCACACUGGUACUCAGAUGGCCACAACUGAACUGGAAUCUCUCACAAUUCCCAGUUACGUUACACAUUUUUUUGAAGAAACAGCAGUCUUUGAAUGAAAAACUACUUAAAAGCAUCUCAAAAUAAGGCAACGAGAAAAAGAAACAGCUUUGUUUGGGAAAUACCACCAAGUUCCCAUCAACCCACAAGAUGCGUGCUUAAUUGCCCUCCUGUAGCUUUGUCAGAUUGCAUUUCUGUUGAAGGCAGGUGGUGAUUAAACUACAUAGCAUAGAGACUUCCUUUGAUCUAUGUAAAUGAAUGUAUAUGUAUAAACUAUGCAUUUUCAUCCAGCUGCAAACUGUAUCUCUAAGUGGUUAAAUCUAACCUCUUCCUCAAUGUUAGUAACUCCCAAACUCCAGGAGAUGAAGGUGCUCCUCAUCUUUUUUAGCAUGUAAUUCUCUCCUGUCUUGCUUCUGUGCUUUACAAAGGCAAGAUGUGUGGUGGGGGAGCUGCAGGGCCCAACGAGCAGUGAGCAGGGCCAUGGCUGAAGCAGGAACACGCGAAUGAGACCAGGUUGGGCCCAGCAUGGUUGAGCAGAGGGCUGCAGCUGCUGCUCCAGCUCCAGCACUUCUUUCACAAUUGGGCAGCAGAGCAGGACUAGCAGCUACUGCCUCACACGGGGUCAGUGGGAGUGUGCAGCAGUGCUGGAAGAAGCUAUGCCAAGGAGGAGGUCACUGCAGACUGGGUUUACAGCCCUCACUGUCUCCUUGUGAGAGCCUUUCUGGCCACCACAGCCCCAGGUCUGCCCUUACCUCUCCGUGGUACACAGGAGCCUCCUUUGGCUGCAGAUGCCUGGCAGCACUCACAGCAUGCAGUUCUUCACGGUGAGCACUGGUGGGGCUUCAGGAGAGGAAGGGUCAGGCCCUGUUCUGAGCAUAUCCCUGCUAGAAGGAAUUAGGAGAGGUGAAAAAUGGAGGUCUCGUUCUAGUAGCUGUUGUAAUGAAGGCAAAAGGUGCUGCAUGCAAUGUUAUUGCUUACAUUUCAGGUUGUUGCUGUAAUAUUCAUCAGCCCGGUCUGGUCAGUGACCUAAGUGUGUUUCAUAUGGCUUAUCUUGCAGGAAGAAAGACCAAAAAAAUAAAAAAAAUAAAUAGAAAGAAAGAAAAGAUCCUUGCUUUAAAGUAAAAGCAAGAGUGGACUAAAUCAAAUCUUUCUCUCUUCUUUAUAUGCAACCUAUUCAAAUAUUUGAUACUAGUAUGGCAGCAGUGGUAUUUUUAUCUAUCCAGAGAUGUGCAUUCAUUUAGGUUAUGCUUGAUUGAGAAGUAUUUUUGCAGUAUGUAUUUGUAUUUGAUGGGCUUCGGCCCUUCAUUUUGUAUUCUUUACAAGAAUUAGCAUGGAAAUGAUGCUUCCCCAUUUAUUGAGCUACCUGACCAUCCCAGCUGUCUGCAUACAAAAUAUUUCCAGAACUUUGGAGGAUUUGGGAUUUUGGUUUGGUUUAAACACUGUCCUUCUUUAAAAAAUAAAAAUAAAAAUAAAUGCAGUGCUAUUUUAAUAGCAAAGCAUAUUCCUUACCAGGGCCCCUGCGAUGUGAUGCAGAGAACCCAGUGACAUGAUGCAAAUGUGGGUUCUCAGCAGCCACAGCUCCCAUGGCUGUAGCAUGUACACCAGCAGAGGAGCUGCCCCCAGGAGGGGUAUGUGGAGCUGUGGGGUGCUCAGUGUGCAGGGGGGGGGCUCUGUGGAGCUGGCACAUCCUCCUACCAGGACGUGGCCUGUAACAGCAACAGAAGGACACUGCUGCAUCUCUCUGCAACCCGUGAUGUCCUGCAGGUCUGCCGUGGCUCCGGCUGCAGUCCCUCAGCUCAGAACCCUGAGCGCAGUGCUCGGGCUUUGGCAUCACUUACGAUCACAAAGAAAUGGAUAAAUCCGUGGUGCUAUGAUGUGAAUCUGAGAGUCAAACUGGCCAUAGCAGACACACCGGUUAGGGAUGCACUUUUCCUGUGGCACACAAUGUAUUUUCUCAGAACGGACUUUCAAAGGACCAUCAGAUGUUUACAUUUCUUCUUGUUGCCCCAAAUAGUUUUGGAUAUUGAAAUAACUUCCAAAAAUAGAGAAAGACGUGAUGCAUUACCGAUGUGAUGAAUCCUUACAUCUAGGUAUCUACAACAGGUUUGUACAAAUACCAUUUUAGAGAUAGUUGAAAUAUUGGGCUUUCAUACUUUGUAAUGCUUUGAUGUGACAAUAAAUAUGCUGUUGCUAUCUAUCUAGUCUAACCUCAUUGUAGACCUGUAAUUUCCUGUUUAUGGUUAUGUCAUGAAUUGCACUGGCUUGACUUCAGCCAAAUACUGACUGUUCAGCUGAAAUAUUCCGACUGUUAUGAUGUCCACAAAACAUUAAUUAAAUGCACUUGUAACCGACUACUGAGGAGUAUGUCAAGUUAUUCAUGUAAUAAAA